GAUGAACGCUGGCGGCGUGCCUAAUACAUGCAAGUCGAGCGAACAGACGAGGAGCUUGCUCCUCUGACGUUAGCGGCGGACGGGUGAGUAACACGUGGAUAACCUACCUAUAAGACUGGGAUAACUUCGGGAAACCGGAGCUAAUACCGGAUAAUAUAUUGAACCGCAUGGUUCAAUAGUGAAAGACGGUUUUGCUGUCACUUAUAGAUGGAUCCGCGCCGCAUUAGCUAGUUGGUAAGGUAACGGCUUACCAAGGCAACGAUGCGUAGCCGACCUGAGAGGGGGAUCGGCCACACUGGAACUGAGACACGGUCCAGACUCCUACGGGAGGCAGCAGUAGGGAAUCUUCCGCAAUGGGCGAAAGCCUGACGGAGCAACGCCGCGUGAGUGAUGAAGGUCUUCGGAUCGUAAAACGCUGUUAUUAGGGAAGAACAAAUGUGUAAGUAACUAUGCACGUCUUGACGGUACCUAAUCAGAAAGCCACGGCUAACUACGU
rnacentral:rRNA from 1 species